AGCACAUUGGAGCAUUCAUUCACUUGGUCUUUCAUCGACUCCAGUUAUUUCAAUGGAUUACAACCAAAAUUCAAGAAUUGGGUGAGAUAAGACUUGACAUGCAUCAUUCAGAACAUUAGAAGUGGAAUCGAAUUCCAUGAUUGCACUUACAAAUGCACUGUAACAAAGGUUUAAUCAGAAGAGUGUGUGUGGGUGUGUGUAAGAGAGAGAGAAAGAGAGAGAGA
rnacentral:misc_RNA from 1 species